GGACUUCAACAUGUGAAUUUUGAGGCAGGGGUUUGGGGGGACCCAAUUCAGCCCAUAACAGGAGGCCCCAGCAGCUAGGACUGCAGCUGCCGAGGAGAGUGGAUGCCACCUGCCCUCCCGUGCCCGUGUGCACCCUGACCCGGCUGCCUGUCGGCAGAAGGUUCUUGCGGAGAGAGGGGACAAAGCUACGUGGAGACACAGAGAGACACAGAGGAAAAGGCUGUGCAAUGACAGGAGUGACACUGCCACAAGCCAAGGACCACCAAGGGUUUCCAGAAGCCACCAGAAGCCAGGAGAGAGACAUGGAACCAACCCUGCCAACGCCCAGAUUUUGGACUCUGCCCUCCAGAGCUGUGAGAGAAUAAAUUUCCACCGUUCUAAGCCUCCCACUUCCCGGCCAUUCCCUGCAGCAGCCUAGGGGUGAGCACAGUGUCCAAGUCGCUCCACACCCACACGCCCCAGUCAUAGUCAUCCCAUCGAGUUCCUUCCUCGUCCGUCAUCUGGAAGUAUCCAGAUGGCCUCUUUGUUUACAGUCUGUUUCCCCCACUCGAAUGUAAGUUCCUUGACUGUGCCCUGUGCCCCUCCCCAUGUCCCCAGCCCCGGGACAGCACCUGACCUAUCGUGGGCCCCUAUGCGUAACUGAUGAGUGAAUGAGCCGGGUCCCAUGGUCCUUCCCCACUGCUCCUCAGCUGAGCUCCCGCAGGACCUGGCAGAG